AUGAACGCUGGCGGCGUGCUUAACACAUGCCAGUCGAACGGAAAGGCUCCUGCUUGCAGGGGUACUCGAGUGGCGAACGGGUGAGUAACACGUGGGUGAUCUGCCCUGCACUUCGGGAUAAGCCUGGGAAACUGGGUCUAAUACCGGCUAGGACGAUGGUUUGGAUGCCAUUGUGGAAAGUUUUUUCGGUGUGGGAUGAGCUGGGGGCCUAUCAGCUUGUUGGUGGGGUACUGGCCUAACAAGGCGACGACGGGUACCCGGCCUGAGAGGGUGUACGGCCACAUUAGUACGGGGAUACGACCCAGACUACAACCGUAGGCAACGGAGGAGAGGAUUAUACAGUAGGCGCAAGGCUGGUGCGACGACGCAGCGUGGGGGAUGACGGCCAUGGAGUUGGGAAGUCCAGUCGCUAGGGACGAAGCGCAAGUGACGGUACCGGGAGAAUAAGCACCGGCUAACUACGUG
rnacentral:rRNA from 1 species